rnacentral:rRNA from 1 species
UACGGAGGGGGCUAGCGUUGUUCGGAAUUACUGGGCGUAAAGCGUGCGUAGGCGGAAUGGAAAGUUAGAUGUGAAAUCCCCGGGCUCAACCCGGGAACUGCAUUUAAAACUCCCAUUCUAGAGUUCUGGAGAGGUAAGUGGAAUUCCGAGUGUAGAGGUGAAAUUCGUAGAUAUUCGGAGGAACACCAGUGGCGAAGGCG